rnacentral:rRNA from 1 species
UGUUCGUAAGUUAUGUGCUCAUUUGGGUAAAACUACAAAAUAAACCGAGAGAGAAUCAAAUAUUUUGGUCAAGCUACAAAGGGUUUAUGAAGGAUGACUUNNNNNNNNNNNNNNNNNNNNNNNNNNNNNNNNNNNNNNNNNNNNNNNAUGAAUUCAAUAGUCGCAGGGCAGCGAUACCAGGAGAAUUGAAACAUCUAAGUACCCUGAGGAAAAGAAAUCACAGAGAUUCCCCCAGUAGCGGCGAGCGAAAAGGGAAGAGCCUAAACCUGAUAAGAUUUCGCAAGAAAUUUUAUCAGGGGUUGCGGGACCUCGAUGUGGCAGAUGGAUGGAUAGCAGAAAUGUAUGGGAAGACAUACCAAAGAGAGUGAAAGUCUCGUACGCGAAAUUCUGAAGUCGCCUAGGGGUAUCCCAAGUACUACGGGGCACGUGGAAUCCUGUAGGAAUCUGGGCCGACCACGGUCUAAGGCUAAAAACUACACCUAAACCGAUAGUGCACAAGUACCGUGAGGGAAAGUUGAAAAGAACGCUGGUGAAGCGAGUGAAAUAGAACCUGAAAUCAUAAACCUACAAGCGGUGGGAGGGCUAUACCAUCUGCGCAAGCUUGAUGGAAUGCCUGACCGCGUACCUUUUGCAUAAUGGACCGACGAGUUACUGUGCGGUGCGAGCUUAACCCUUGACGGAAACGUCAAGGGGAAGGCGUAGCGAAAACGAGUCCUAACUGGGCGUUUAGUACCGUAUAGUAGACCCGAAGCUGAGUGAUCUACUCAUGGCCAGAGUGAAGCUCUCCGAAAGGAGAGUGGAGGCUCGAACCCAUCAGUGUUGAAAAACUGCGGGAUGAGCUGUGAGUCGGAGCGAAAGACUAAACAAACUCAGAAAUAGCUGGUUCUCCCCGAAAUAUUUCUAGGGAUAGCCUCGGGUAAUUAAAUAGUAGGGGUAGAGUGCUGAAUGGGUUACAGGGCCUUACUAGGCCGCUGAACCCAACCAAACUCCGAAUACUACUAUUCUUAUCCCGGGAGUAAGACGCUGGGGGCUAAGCUCCGGCGUCAAGAGGGUAUCAGCCCAGACCAUCAGCUAAGGUCCCUAAGAAUAGGCUAAGUGGUAAAGGAUGUGAUCUCGCAUUGACAACCAGGAUGUUGGCUUAGAGGCAGCCAUCAUUUAAAGAGUGCGUAACAGCUCACUGGUCGAGCGACCUCGCGCCUAAGAUAAUCGGGGCUUAAGCCUAUUACCGAAGCUAUGGGUUUAUGCUACUUCGGUAGCGUAAGCGGUAGGGGAGCAUACUCUGACGAGUGAAGGCGUACCGUGAGGAGCGCUGGACGUCAGAGUAGAGAUUAUGUCGGUAUGAGUAGCGAAAACACCUGCGAGAAACAGGUGCACCGAAAGUCUAAGGUUUCCUGGGGAAGGUUAAUCCGCCCAGGGUUAGUCGAGCCUAAGCUGAGGCCGUAUGGCGUAAGCGAUGGAUAAUCCGUUAAUAUUCGGAUACCAGUUAGGUGGCGUUAAAACUUUUUGUAUGACGCGUGGCGUGUUUAGGCCGGCGCAGUGUUGGAUGUCUGCGUUCUUUCCGCCGAAAGACGGGGAGGGGAGCUCAAGCGUAUGCGCGAGUGAAGUGUUCUAAAACGUGCUGCCAAGAAAAGUAUAAAGAGGAGUUGCUUAACUGUUCGUACCGGAAUCCGACACAGGUAGACCUCCAGAGAAUGGUAAGGUGCUCGAGAUAACUCUCGUUAAGGAACUCGGCAAAUUAGCCUCGUAAGUUAGCGAUAAGAGGUGCCCUUCAUCGAAAGGUGACAGGGUCUGUAGUAAAGUGGCCCGGGUGACUGUUUAGUAAAAACACAGCACUCUGCAAACUCGAAAGAGGACGUAUAGGGUGUGAUACCUGCCCGGUGCUGGAAGGUUAAGGGGAGGGGUUAGCGAGUCGUAAGAUUUGCGAAGCCUCAAACUGAAGCCCCAGUAAACGGCGGCCGUAACUAUUGUUUGGACCACAGUAGUUGUAAAAUCUGGCUAUAUGCUGGAAAAUCCUGUUAGGCUAACAGUACUCUUGCCUAUAUGGCGAGAUGUGACAAUCUGUUAGAUAGGGAUAAUCAGCAGGAAAGACCUGAAGGGAGGUCUCCAUGAAAGCAGAAAUAGGCUAUUACUUAGCAGGUUUUGCCGACGGAGAAGGAAGUUUCAAUGUUUCCUUUAGGCCUCGGCAAGAUUAUAAAUCACCGUGGAAAAUUUCUCUCCGUUUCAAUAUUUCCCAGAAAGACAAAGUUAUUCUAGCUUUAUGCAAACACCAUUUAGGAUGUGGAACAUUAAGAAGUAGGCCAGAUGGCGUUUGGUAUUAUGAAGUAAAUAACUUUAACGCGAUUUGGGAAAAAGUGAUACCCUUCUUUAAGAAAUAUAAUUUUCUCUCUGCAAAAAAGAAACGUGAUUUUGCAAAGUUUUGCGAAAUCGCAAGGAUAAUAAGGAGAGAAGAACACCUUAAAGAAAGUGGUAUCAGAAAGAUUAUUGAGAUAAGAAGAGAGAUGAACGACGGUGGAAAGCGAAAGUAUAGCGAAAAAGAGAUUCUAACUAAGAUUCAGGAAUCCUCAGAGACUACACGCCAGAUUCCAAUGCAAAUUGGAGAUGAUAUAGUCCGGUCUUCCGAGAAAUCGGAAGUUAACAUAAACGAACGGUCCUAAGGUUUUGAGAAUUUCA